rnacentral:snRNA from 1 species
GGAUGUGAGGGCGAUCUGGCUGCAACAUCUGUCACCCCACUGAUCGCCAGGGUUGAUUCGACUGAUCUAGCUGGCUAGGUGGGUGUCCCCUUCCUCCCUCACUGCUCCAUGUGCGUCCCUCCCAAAGCUGAGUGCUCGGUCGAAGAGGACGGCCUUCUCCCAAUAGAGACGGACCUGUCUUCGGUCGAGGGUAUAAGAGUAGCUGCACUCCUUUGCUAGAACCUCCAAACAGGCUCUCAAGAAACAUAGGUAUCCUAAAAUGUUCGUGUACCUUUUAAAUUCUUUCUCAUACUUUCGUUAGGCCAAGCACCAAGGAUAUCAACUCAUCAUUUGAUAUGCCAGUCUAUGUCACUGU